rnacentral:rRNA from 1 species
AACGCUAGCACAGGCUUAACACAUGCAAGUCGAGGGGCAGCAUGAACUUAGCUUGCUAAGUUUGAUGGCGACCGGCGCACGGGUGAGUAACACGUAUCCAACCUGCCGAUGACUCGGGGAUAGCCUUUCGAAAGAAAGAUUAAUACCCGAUGGCAUAGUUCUUCCGCAUGGUAGAACUAUUAAAGGAUUUCGGUCAUCGAUGGGGAUGCGUUCCAUUAGGUUGUUGGCGGGGUAACGGCCCACCAAGGCGACGAUCAGUAGGGGUUCUGAGAGGAAGGUCCCCCACAUUGGAACUGAGACACGGUCCAAACUCCUACGGGAGGCAGCAGUGAGGAAUAUUGGUCAAUGGGCGAGAGCCUGAACCAGCCAAGUAGCGUGCAGGAUGACGGCCCUAUGGGUUGUAAACUGCUUUUAUAAGGGAAUAAAGUGAGUCUCGUGAGACUUUUUGCAUGUACCUUAUGAAUAAGGACCGGCUAAUUCCGUGCCAGCAGCCGCGGUAAUACGGAAGGUCCGGGCGUUAUCCGGAUUUAUUGGGUUUAAAGGGAGCGUAGGCCGGAGAUUAAGCGUGUUGUGAAAUGUAGACGCUCAACGUCUGCACUGCAGCGCGAACUGGUUUCCUUGAGUACGCACAAAGUGGGCGGAAUUCGUGGUGUAGCGGUGAAAUGCUUAGAUAUCACGAAGAACUCCGAUUG